CGACGUCGGUGAGCGCGAGGCGCACGAGAUGCUCGUGUGUCUCACAUUCGAAACGCGCACGUUGCGUUUUCACCAACAACUUUAUUUUCAAACUCUUUAACUCUCCAAAUAAUAAUUUGAGUGAUAGUGUGUGUAAAUUGUGUUAUAAAUGUGUUUCGUGCAAGUUGAAUAAAAGUGUGCGCGCGCACGCUUACGUUUUACGAGCGGCAAGCUGUGCUCGUACGUCGGUGGCGGCGGCGGCGGCAGUCGUCGUGCCCGCCUCAGGUCGGACGGGCGUCGCGCGUGAUCGCUGCUCGCCCGGCGCAGUCUUACACACACUCACCGAACGCCACCCCCACACGAGCUGCGACCAACAUGACAAUACACAUCGAAUUAUCUAGCAAUAAGUGCGCGCACCAGCGGAGCGCGUAGUGCGCGCCGAGUGGACGAGGGUUUCUCAAAUCGCGACGAUGGGGGAUCGCGAUCGUGACCGCCACGCGAAGACCAUCCGCGUCGGCUUCUACGACAUCGAGCGCACCAUUGGUAAAGGCAACUUUGCUAUCGUCAAGCUCGCUAGGCAUCGCAUCACGAAAACUGAGGUGGCGAUCAAAAUCAUCGACAAGUCACAGCUCGAUGCCGGUAAUUUACAAAAAGUGUAUCGUGAGGUGGACAUCAUGAAACGGCUGGAUCAUCCGCAUAUCAUUAAAUUAUACCAGGUGAUGGAAACGAAAAACAUGAUUUACCUCGUCUCGGAAUACGCUAGUCAAGGAGAAAUUUUCGAUUACAUCGCCAGAUAUGGUCGCAUGUCCGAAGAACAAGCGAGAGCAAAGUUUUGGCAAAUUUUAUCCGCCGUUGAAUAUUGCCAUAAUCGAAAUAUUGUGCAUCGAGAUUUAAAAGCCGAAAAUUUACUCCUAGACUCAAACAACAACAUCAAAAUAGCGGACUUUGGUUUUUCGAACUUUUUUAUGCCUGGUGGACAUUUAUCCACGUGGUGUGGAAGUCCACCGUAUGCUGCUCCUGAAGUUUUUGAAGGGAAGAAAUACACCGGGCCUGAAAUUGAUAUUUGGAGCCUCGGGGUAGUGCUGUACGUGCUUGUUUGCGGCGCGCUUCCUUUCGACGGAUGUUCCUUGCAAGCUUUACGCGAUCGAGUGCUCUCCGGAAGAUUUCGUAUUCCUUAUUUUAUGAGUUCAGAUUGCGAAUCGUUGAUAAGAAAAAUGUUAGUAUUAGAACCAAACAAACGGUAUUGCAUCAGUCAGAUCAAAAGGCAUCGCUGGAUGCAAAUGGAAGUGCCGCCCAGCCUGCCGCCCACCGCGCCAAUAUCCAGCACGCAACCCAACGAGCAAAUCCUGCGUCUAAUGCAAAGUUUAAGCAUAGACAGCGGCAAAACGAGAGAAUCAAUAAGACUGGGCAGUUACGACCACCACGCGGCUAUCUACUAUCUCCUCCUUGAUAAACUGCGAAACCAACUGGUUGGUGAACCGCAUCCACAAACCGGAAGUCGCGACGUUCAACGCCGGCGUCCUUCGAGCGUGGCGGAGCAAGCGAUGCGUAAGAUCAACCGAGCGAGCACUAGCGAAGAUUGCCGUCGUCUUCUACACUCGUCCACUACACCCACAGCAAGUAAUAGUAAGCUAUGCACUGCUACACCGAGAGUAUGUGAUUCUCCGCCCACGCACGGUAUCGACGCUGCCAAACUUCUCGCUGCGACUAACAGUGAAGACGCACUGAAGAUCCUCAACCAGGCGUCUGCGAAUGCUUUCAAUUUAGCUACAGAAGCAAGUAAACUGAUGAACACCCUGCAGCAAUCGGCUGUGGGACCAGUGAGCAAUGAUGCUAUUGUAAACAGCGGAACCGCAAACGGCAUACCAUUCAGAGAUCUUUUUAAUCACAUGCCUAGCACUUAUGGUUUCGUCCAAAACUCCAAUAUUGAUAACGAUGCGAAAGUUGGAGCUAGUUCUGGAUCUCUUACAAGAUUCUACAGUUGUGGAGGUGUGAGUGGGGUAGGAGGUGCCUACAGAAGCACCGAAAUGCAAACGCAGUAUUCCAGUUCAACUGAUGAAGGUGUAGAAACAGACUUAGAAGAUGUCCACACUACGCACACACAUACCCCAAGGUUAUCCUAUGCAUCUUCUAGUUCUUCUUCAGGUGUGGUCACUAAUUUUAACACCUCUAAGUCCCUGUCGCAGAAUUUAAGCUGUGAUAGUAACUUUGAGAGUCUGGAAUACCCGCUGAGUGAAUCUAGCGAGUUAACUAAUAGUUUACCAAGUUGUACAUCAUCGGAAACACGUGGAUUACUUCCGGAAACAACCACACUCACUAGUAACACAGCGACAUCUGUGAAAUAUUCCAACACACGUUCAGCUCUACAUAAACACAACCCGUUGGUGCAUGUGGGUAGCUACAAGGCAACUCGUGGUGUGACUCGUAGUCCUGUGGAUUUCCGUGAAGGAAGACGUGCGAGUGACGGCCUGGUAGCUCAACAGGUUGCUCAGCAGGAUUGUGCUCAUCCCACAGGUGUGGUGGCAUUCAACUCUCAGAAACUAGGAGAAAAUGCAAAAACUAAAGGUGUGCUUGACAUGCAUCUGGUACAGCGUGAAGCACAACGUCUUCAAUCACAAUAUCAAGCACGGGAACCACCCGAAGAGGUGACACAGCGACAGAAACAACACACGCAGUAUUUACAACCUCGUGGUACCAAACGUGUUAGUCUACCUGAUAAUUUCAGUUAUGCCGGAGCAGUUGAACCACCUUUACAACUUCAAACAGCUAUGCAACGACGGCUUUUACAGGAAAAACGACAAGUUUUACAGAAACAAUGCGCCAUGUCUCAACAUCAAUCACUAGGUGGUGUUACUGGUGGUAGUAUGGAUAGUCACUCGCUGGCGAGGAGACAAAUGCUCCGCCAGGCUAGCUAUAAGAUAGCACAACAACAACCAGUGUUGCCACCUUUACCCCUCAAUGAAGUAGAAAGCAAAGAAUUGUUGGCUUUCCAGGCAUUAGUUGAGGGUGCGACGAAUGCUAGCGGAGAAGCCUGGAAUGCACUGCCCGGAAGUCUGCAGACAUCUUGUCAGAUCUCCGACGCGCAGGCUGUCAAUCAAAACGCUAAUAUCACGCAGCAAUGGCAGACGACAGCGAGCUGGAAUCAGGUAUAGACUUGCGCUCUGGCUGUGUAGUUGAAUUUAUUUACUAAUUGUGUAACUGUAGUUAAUUAGUUGAUUAAUACCCGCGCGAUGCACAGCGAAACACAAACGUAGACGUAGUGUAGUCUCUAGUGAUAAAUUAGUUGAUAGAUGAACAAAGACUAAACAAGACUUUGAUUUUUGUUUACAUUUUGAAUGUUUUCGUCACACUCGUGUAAUGUACAAGUUAUUAUUUUCUUUUAAGUAUUGUUUAGUAGUCACAUCUGAAUCUUGUCUGUGUUAUUAUCGUAAUAUUUGAAUUUGAAGAAUAUCUAGCACAUAUUUCGUCAAAUAUUAAUCGAAUAACGUUUUUAUUGUAUUAUUAUGAAUUAAUGAUCGAUUUUUUCCACGAAAAAAUUGAUUGUUUUUAUUUUGUUGGUAAACUUUAAAGAAACAGAGUAUUUAUUGUAAUAAAAACAUGCAAAUCGUUCAUUUUUGAUUUUUUAUCUGCACGAUAACCAUUUUCAAGUUGAGGAUCUGUUCAGCAUGCUGUGUGUUGUCGGCCAUUAAAAUUCAAGGCAUGAUUGUGCUCUGUGUUGACAUUAACACGCUGUGAAUGGCCUGCAGCUGACCGGAAGCGCAUGGCCGCCAUUACUGCCAUUGAGCGAGUCGCCCAUUUUGGAGCUCACCGAACAAAUGGAGUCAAUGUAAAACCAACAACGUCACGUUUUUAUACUGCGCAUAGAUUCCUUCAUCAUCCAUACACGUAAGAGAACAAAAUGGCGGAGCGACGGAUAUAAUACACAAAAACAGUAACUGGUAAUUAUAAUACAUGCAAAAUACAGGAUUUGUACGAUUAUCAAAUACUGCCAAGCAAAUUAAUCAGUUCAAUUACACAGUAUAAAAUUACACUGAGCGUUGCGCGAAUCAGGCCUACAAUAAAUUAAUUAUAUACGAAAUAUUUGGCAAUCGUUGCUGUCCAAACAAAGAUGUGUAUGAAAACAAUAACAAAACAUGCUUUCCGGCGAAGCAAAUUCUAUAUGUAUGUACAGAAUUCAAUUGUUAAGCGUAGAGUAAUCGUUUGUAAUGUUUGGUAGGACUAGCAGCCGGAAAGUGAUAAAAUUAGUAAUGAAAGUUAAUCAGUAAUGUUGGUACAUUUGUAGCGAGACUCGUCAUUUGUACUAAGGACGUAGAUAUUUUACUUUUGUAUUUGUUUUCUAAGGAUUGUACAGGUUAAGCAUAUUUUCAAACAUUCCAGCUAAUUUUAUUUCAAGCAAUCAUAAUUCAACAAAAAUAUAACAUUAACAUAUCAUAAGUUGAGAAAAAAUCAUUUUUUAAAUGUAAGGAAGCGUUCUCUUUCUGUUUUGCAAGUUUUACGGCUCGUAAUUUACGAAAAUGUGCACAGCUGGUAAACAAGGCAAACUUAUUAGCAAGAGUAAUUAACGGGCACGGCCUAAACCGUAAUUGAAAGCGACAAGAGACUAAUUUGCACGCUUUUCAAGAGCUGCACUCUCGGGAGUUUCUUUUAAAACAACUACAAUAAAAGCACAACAUCAUUUGAUUCAAUUAAAUAUACAUGACGUCAGUACUUAGUAAAUUUACGCAUAAAAAUACAUGAUGAACUUAAUAAUUACAAGAAAACAUAAUAAAAGUGGUGCUAAACUUUACUACAUGUACUAAAUUAAAAGAAUUGAGUUUUUAUGAGCAACAACUGCAACAAGUUGUUCAAUAAAAGAAACGCGGACAGUUUUUGCACGCUUCAUCAUAAUAAGCAAAAAAUGGCGUCGUGUCAUAGAUGCAACAGGCUUUCAUAACAGUGGAGAAACUUUUUGAUGGUAUUUUGUGACUUGUGAUAGGUUUAUGACAUUUUUUAACAGCUUAUACACGUACAGUGUACAUAAAUUGUACUUAUGUAGAAAGUAGGAAGCAUUUAGCUUUAGAUUUAGCUGUUAACGCAGUGGGUGUCAUUACAGGUUAUGAUACGCCACUGUUGCACCACCUAGCGACGCGUAGCACUAUAUAAACGCAUAGCUUGCUUCAUUUUUACUUCAAUAUUUGCUCAAGAUAAACUUAGUUGCCGAAUAAUUGGUGUUCUCAACGAAUCAAGCUUGAAUUUAUACAUAACUACGAAUAACAUUUUAAAAAGGUGUUGAGAAUUAUUGGCUGCAAUCAAAAUUUAAAAAAUUGGUGGUAGAGACAUCUAGAACACAAUCAAAAGUAAAUAAAAUUAUGAUGCAAUGGAAUAAUCAUUAUACAGACUGUAAUAAUUGGAUAAUAAAAUAAAAUUAAAUUAAUACGGUGGAAUCAAGCAAAUUAACAUAUUACGUAAAUAAGAUUGUAUGGCUGCAUACUUAAUAUAGUAAAACAACAUGCAGGGAAAUCUUUCAAUUUAAUAUCGACGAAUUUGAUCAACUAAACAAGGAAAGAAUACUUUUUAUUCUGAUUUCUUUAAAAAAAGAUAAAAAGUAAUCUUUUCUUGCAGAUUCCUGUAGUAAAUGAUAAAUAAAACAGACAUAACCUAUCAUAAACUAAAAUUUAAAAGAAAAACACUUGCAUCCAAAUGAAAUUAUACGAAUAUGGAACAAUUAUGUGAAGCGUAGUAAAACAACGUGUAGAUUUUAGAAGCUAAAAGCUAGGCGCAAAAUUUAAACAUUGAUGGAAUGCUAAACUCAGUAAAUCAGUAAAAUCGUAACGAAUAACAUUGUAAAUUUUAUAGGAUUUAAGCAUAAACGACGUGGAUAUUGAAGAAUUUAAAAAAUAACGAAACAAUAUAACUUUGUAUAGAUUUAUAGACUUUAGGUGAAAGAAAAUUUCAUCAGAAACAUGAAAUUUUACACACAACUUUCGGAAAACCACUAAAAGUUAAUAACUACAAGUAAACCCUAACGAUAUGUACAUAAUGUGUAGAUUAUAUCAUAGAUAUCAUAGAUUAGCAUUCAUUUUACAUCAGAAGAAGAAAAAGAAAACGCAUUGCGAAUAAAUGCACAACAUAUCAUCGUUUAUGUACUUUAUGUUUACGUUAAACAUAAAUACAAUUAUUUUAUGUGAUUUUUUCACCUUGAUUAUGAAAAUUUGAAUAAAUGUGGUGCGAAACAAAACGAUUUGAAGACGUGUAAAAGCAAUAACAUGAAAUAUACACAAGCAUCUUUCUUGUAUAAGUUCUUUUCUAAAUGUUGUUGAAUGUUUUUCGCACGCGAAUCAAUAUUUUAAGUUGUACAAACGAAUCGUGCCAGAAAAUGAGGAAAAAAAACAAAACACAUGUAUUGGGAAUUGUUUGACAAAUCAUUGAUCAUCGAAUGUGAUGUCCAUACUUUACUUAUUCAUACUUUACUUAAGUGUGAACACAUAAAUAUGCGAAUAUGUGAAAAAUUAUUUAUUCUUAGUUUUGUUCAUUGCAAAUUAUAUUAAAUUGCAUUGGAACUUCUGAUUAACUAUUAAUCAUUAAUGAAUAAUCGUUGAGUAAACCUUAAAACACAUUGUACGCAUGUAUUACACUUGAUAACACAUGAUAAAAGCAUAUGUAUUGUACUCUUAUCGAUUUUGUUCGCAAGUGCGUAGUUCCUUUCGAUUAAAAUUGUGUUAUUGAAGCGUUCAAGUGUAAAAAAGUAAAUAUCUUAGAGUAUGUAUUUAUUUUUAUUUAUUUACUGACGUGUUUGUACAGAUUUGAUUUUGUUUCUCUGGAAUCAUUGAAAUAAAAUGUUGGAUAAUAA